UUGCAGGUUCUUUCGGACGGAGAACACAUGAUGAGCAUUACGCGCCGAACGUAUCCGAGAGGCAGGAUAUCCUCGGAUGGAAGCAACAUAAAAGCAUAUAGCUCUGAUGGAACUGAUGAGGUGUGAUGUUUCAAGAUGUUAUCUCGCAGCAGCGCGGCCUACGUAAAGAAAUACAAGUCCUUUUUUAGCCACGGGGGAACCGAAAUGAGGUCGGCGGUCGAGAGUGUGUUAUCUUCUCAUCUUCAUACCUUCUGUCAUCUCUUCUGCUUCCAGCUGUAACCCUUUUAUUUUCACUGCUCAGGACUUAAAGACUCACAAGAUCAAUACUUGGGUUUGAAUUUCGAAAAAAAAAAGAAAAAGAGAGAAAAUACUAGGAUGACUUUCUUGCGCGUAAUGCCAGCUUUUCAAAAUUCUCACUUUUUCCAUCAUAUUCUGUCUUUUCUAGGAAUCACCCCAUGCAGGAUUUUCCUCCUAUUUUUCAUUUUAAUUACAACAGAUAAACAUUUUGAGAGCCGUUUCCUCCCCUCAGCCUUCGACUUGUUCCACUGAAUGCCGUCAUCCAGAACUCUGGGUCGCACCGUGUUUGUGUUACAUUUCAUUUCCCAUAAACAAAAGCUCAUGAGCAGUGUUUCAGUGAUUCAAACACAGAAUUUACAACAAAAACAGGUCAACUCUGCAUUUCCUGAAAGUUCCCUGCCAGCGGCUGCACUGAGGUUAAGGAGUCAUCAGCGCCGAGUCUGUAAACAGAACUAGAACACGACUCCAGGGAUGAUUUUGUUCUCCGUCCGCCCAACAAUCAAUUGUUUCAGAAAUUACCUCAAAAAUGUAUGUGUUCAAGUGACGGAGUCGUAGGAAUAAUGAUUAUGAUGCUGCUCUUUGUUAGCCAGCUUUGGAUGUAGCAGGCCACCAUUAGCUACAGGAAUUAGCGACAUGUCACAACAUGCGAUGGAGCUCAGCUAAACUGGGUUCAGCCGCCCGAGAGUGAAUGUGGCUGGACGCUGAACGCAUCCUCCAGGACCACCAGAGGUCAGUCUGAGGACAGGCGAAACAUACGGAGGUUGGAAAUGUUGUGCAGAGCCGAAACACUUUCACAUCUUACUGUGAAUUUAUUGUGACUAAACCAGAGAUGAUUGCCAAAAGACAAACCAAGACUGUUUUGGAUCUAACCUUCCCACUUGGCAUUAUAAAUUGCACAAGUGUGUCAACACAGCACAUAACAACAGACCAACAACAGGGCUGGCAGAUGUUGGCAGUCCGGCGUCAUAAAGGACACUUUCUCUUCAUCCUGCACCGCUGUGUCUCGCUGUUGGACGGGCAAAGUGACGCUGCUUUCUCCUCAGGUGUUCUGCCGGACUGCCCGCCCCCCCGGGUCCUGGUCUGCUUGCCCCACCUGAAGCCGCAGUUGGCG